ACUUGUCCCCCCGUAAUGGGCUGUCUAUUCUGACGGGCUACAAGGAUUCUAUAAAGGGAUGGGUAGAGAAUUUCCUUGUGGCGGAGUUGAAAUUAGGGUCCUGCCGAUCGUGGGAUGUGGAUCUGAGGUGGGGGGAGAUCUUUCCGGGCUGCAACGAUCUGCCUGAAUUGAGUCUUAUUGAGCAGGUCGGGUUGCUUCGACUGACUUCCGUUGAGAGGAAGUAUGAUGUCGAGAAGUGUAUGUCUGCGUCAAACCUUAGGGAUAUCCAGG
rnacentral:lncRNA from 1 species